rnacentral:lncRNA from 1 species
GCCAGAUUUGACACGCGAUCCCUUUCUUUACCCAAGCAAAGCAGAAGAAAGCAGAAGUGGUUUCAGUAACCACAGGACUCCCAGGCCUGGAGCUCAGAGACAAAGCAGACAAGGAAGGAUCAGGUGAAAACUGAAACUCGGUUGCGAGAGGCAGUAAUGCUGCAGCCCUUGCAGCACUAAUGCUUGAACUUUUUCAGCUUGUGUGCUUCUGCAGGUGGGGGAGAAAUGCCGGCAGCACGGGUGCCCACAUCUCCCCAGCCCAGGGACUGAGGCCUGGGCUGGGGAAAGGAGGACGUCCUGGUGCUAACCUCUUUUUGUGCGCCCACAGCAUGGACCAUUGGGUCUCUCCCUGGUGCUCCCGCCUUAGUGCGUCCGCAAAAUGUCAUCAGCCUGUGCUCACGUUAAACUGAGCCCUGCCAGGUGCCAGGUAUGUCAGGCGCGCUUCAUAGGCCUGUGUUUUCCUAGUUGCACAUCUACUGAAUUCAAAUAUCUCUUGAAGAGCAGCAGUGGUCUCCAGCCUCCCCUCCAGCCCAUGAGCUUUGGUUGCCUGCAGAGCCGCAUGCAGGCUCCCUGGAGGGGUCCCGAUGCUCCUCAACUCAAUGGCACUGAUGCCGGACAGGGCCAGGCACGCAUCUCCCUGUUCGCCUAGGGGACAUGGCUUGCCAAGGUGAGCUGGUGUAUGGCCCAUCUCCUGCCUUGACUUGCACUGUGUCCCCUUCACUGCCUGGGUACAGAGCUAGAGUCUACAGCGGUGGGUAGUAGCACAUCUGAAUUGUGCAUCACUCUCUGGAAAGGUGACAUUUAGAUGUUGCCCAAGCUUCACCCUAAGUGACUUGCUCAAAGGAUCUGAAGGUGGUCCAGGGAAUUGAACCCAACGCCUAGUUUAAGAUCCCAACCAAAAGAGCAUCUCUCCUUUUUACCCUAGCUUCCAGAGCGCUAGCAGGCCCAUCCAUCUAAAGGGUGAGAUUUUUGGCUACUGUUAAGUUAGAUGCCAUCCAGUAACCAGGGAAUUGACAGGAUAUUUGUCACAGCUGGGCCUGUCCUCACCAGCCUGAAGGUAGCUGGAUGAUAGGAUACACAGGAGAGGACACAUUGUUCCUCUUCUUGGCCGUUAUGGCUUUACAAAUGACUAUUCCAAGCUUAGUUCCAAAAUGGUGUCAUGGCUUUCACUGCUGUCAUCAAUUGCCAUCAACACUGCAUUUAGCUGACAUAAUUACUUAUUGUUACAAUCAGUGCCCAUUAGGUUAAAGCUAAAUUACAGUCUCAGUCCUUGGGAACUGCCUAUUACAUCCAUAUGAAUACGCAAAGUUCAUCACUCAUGAUUAACGUUGCU